GGAGUUAGCCGGUGCUUCUUCUGUGAGUGAUGUCCUUCCUGCCGGCUAUUAACCCGCAGGCCUUCUUCCUCACUGAAAGUGCUUUACAACCCGAAGGCCUUCUUCACACACGCGGCAUGGCUGGAUCAGGGUUGCCCCCAUUGUCCAAUAUUCCCCACUGCUGCCUCCCGUAGGAGUCUGGGCCGUGUCUCAGUCCCAGUGUGGCUGAUCAUCCUCUCAGACCAGCUACGGAUCGUCGCCUUGGUGAGCCGUUACCUCACCAACCAGCUAAUCCGACAUAGGCUCAUCCGAUAGCGCGAGGCCCGAAGGUCCCCCGCUUUCCCCCGUAGGGCGUAUGCGGUAUUAGCCUGGGUUUCCCCAGGUUAUCCCCCACUACCGGGCAGAUUCCUAUGCAUUACUCACCCGUCCGCCGCUCGCCACCAGGGAGCAAGCUCCCCGUGCUGCCGCUCGACUUGCAUGUGUUAGGCCUGCCGCCAGCGUUCAAUCUGAGCCAUGAUACAAACUCUGA
rnacentral:rRNA from 1 species